rnacentral:rRNA from 1 species
UACGGGGGGAGCAAGCGUUGUUCGGAUUUACUGGGCGUAAAGGGCGCGUAGGCGGCGCAACAAGUCACUUGUGAAAUCUCCGGGCUUAACCCGGAGCGGCCAAGUGAUACUGUCGUGCUAGAGUGCGGAAGGGGCUACUGGAAUUCUCGGUGUAGCGGUGAAAUGCGUAGAUAUCGAGAGGAACACCAGUGGCGAAGGCGGCUCACUGGUCCGGUACUGACGCUGAGGUGCGAAAGCGUGGGGAGCAAACAGG